rnacentral:rRNA from 1 species
GACCCGUAAUCCGGGUUGCGGACAGUGUCUGGUGGGUAGUUUGACUGGGGCGGUCUCCUCCUAAAGAGUAACGGAGGAGCACGAAGGUUGGCUAAUCCUGGUCGGACAUCAGGAGGUUAGUGCAAUGGCAUAAGCCAGCUUGACUGCGAGCGUGACGGCGCGAGCAGGUGCGAAAGCAGGUCAUAGUGAUCCGGUGGUUCUGAAUGGAAGGGCCAUCGCUCAACGGAUAAAAGGUACUCCGGGGAUAACAGGCUGAUACCGCCCAAGAGUUCAUAUCGACGGCGGUGUUUGGCACCUCGAUGUCGGCUCAUCACAUCCUGGGGCUGAAGUAGGUCCCAAGGGUAUGGCUGUUCGCCAUUUAAAGUGGUACGCGAGCUGGGUUUAGAACGUCGUGAGACAGUUCGGUCCCUAUCUGCCGUGGGCGCUGGAGAACUGAGGGGGGCUGCUCCUAGUACGAGAGGACCGGAGUGGACGCAUCACUGGUGUUCGGGUUGUCAUGCCAAUGGCACUGCCCGGUAGCUAAAUGCGGAAGAGAUAAGUGCUGAAAGCAUCUAAGCACGAAACUUGCCCCGAGAUGAGUUCUCCCUGACCCUUUAAGGGUCCUGAAGGAACGUUGAAGACGACGACGUUGAUAGGCCGGGUGUGUAAGCGCAGCGAUGCGUUGAGCUAACCGGUACUAAUGAACCGUGAGGCUUAACCUUACAACGCCGAAGCUGUU